GUUGAAGCGACGACAAUGGAGAGACGGUACAACAAAAUGUAAAUAACAGCCUCAUCAUGUCAGCGUGAGUAAUAGUUACACAGCACCUAAUCAUACCUCAACAUGUGUUGCGUUAUGUUAACAGAUACUACGUUCACAGAGUCUAACUAGGAGGAUGAUAUCCACGGUUGAAGCGGCGACAUUGGAGAGACGGUACAACAAAAUAUACUACGUUCACAGAGUCUAAUUAGGAGGAUGAUAUCCACGGUUGAAGCGGCGACAUUGGAGAGACGGUACAACAAAAGAAAGUUCAGCAGGCGGCCGAUGGAAGCUGCUCUGACCGCAGACAUCUUGCCAAACUGCGGCUCGCUGCCGCCGCUCGUCCGCCGGUCCGCCAUGGUCGCCUCGGUCCUCCGACACGU